GUGAUUCGGGGCGCAGCAGGCGCGAAAACUUUGCAAUGCGGGAAACCGUGACAGGGGAACUCCGAGUGCCCGUUAAAUCGGGCUGUCCACCAGUUUAAAUAACUGGUGAAGAAAGGGCCGGGCAAGACCGGUGCCAGCCGCCGCGGUAAUACCGGCGGCUCGAGUGGUGGCCACUAUUACUGGGCUUAAAGCGUUCGUAGCUGGUUUGUUAAGUCUCUGGGGAAAUCUUCCGGCUUAACCGGAAGGCGUCUCAGGGAUACUGGCAGACCAGGGACCGGGAGAGGUGAGGGGUACUCCAGGGGUAGGAGUGAAAUCCUGUAAUCCUUGGGGGACCACCUGUGGCGAAGGCGCCUCACCAGAACGGCUCCGACAGUGAGGGACGAAAGCUGGGGGAGCAGACCGGAUUAGAUACCCGGGUAGUCCCAGCUGUAAACGAUGCGCGUUAGGUGUAUCGGUGACCACGAGUCACCGAGGUGCCGAAGAGAAAUCGUGAAACGUGCCGCCUGGGAAGUACGGUCGCAAGGCUGAAACUUAAAGGAAUUGGCGGGGGAGCACAAUCGAAU
rnacentral:rRNA from 1 species